rnacentral:tRNA from 1 species
GGGUUUGUAGUCUACUGGCAGGACGCCACCCUCACACGGUGGAGAAUUGGGUUCGAUUCCCAACAGACCCA